rnacentral:rRNA from 1 species
UCGUGUCGUGAGAUGUUGGGUUAAGUCCCGCAACGAGCGCAACCCUUAAGCUUAGUUGCCAGCAUUAAGUUGGGCACUCUAAGUUGACUGCCGGUGACAAACCGGAGGAAGGUGGGGAUGACAUCAAAUCAUCAUGCCCCUUAUGAUUUGGGCUACACACGUGCUACAAUGGACAAUACAAAGGGCAGCUAAACCGCGAGGUCAUGCAAAUCCCAUAAAGUUGUUCUCAGUUCGGAUUGUAGUCUGCAACUCGACUACAUGAAGCUGGAAUCGCUAGUAAUCGUAGAUCAGCAUGCUACGGUGAAUACGUUCCCGGGUCUUGUACACACCGCCCGUCACACCACGAGAGUUUGUAACACCCGAAGCCGGUGGAGUAACCAUUUAUGGAGCUAGCCGUCGAAGGUGGGACAAAUGAUUGGGGUGAAGUCGUAACAAGGUAGCCGUAUCGGAAGGUGCGGUUGGAUCACCUC